rnacentral:tRNA from 1 species
UAGCGCAGCCUGGUAGCGCACUUGCAUGGGGUGCAAGGGGUCGCGAGUUCGAAUCCCGC